CAUUUGUUUGGUUUAUUAAUAGUUUCUUAUGCAUUGAGAUUGAGUUGAAAUUCUUUACAUACUUCUGCAGGCCAAAGAAGGUGAUGGAUCCACAACACUUUCAAUGAGUGGAAGAUGAUUUGGUUAAAUGGGAUUGUUCUUGUUUGGAAAAAGGAGAGAAAUAGAGAGCUAUUGAUGGCAGUAAGAGUUGGUGACUAAAAUGGCAAGGUUCGUGCUUGGAGGGUGGUUGAAAAAUUGUCUCAACAAAAUCCCUUGUGAUUUGAAGGAGCUAAUGCACAGAUUCUUCUGCAACAUUUUUGUAGUAUGUUUUAACUGGCAGUACUCAGUUCUAGCCAUCACGGGGGUUGAACAUCUAAAAUGUUGGCUCAACUGAGGGAAGAGUUGGUGUCCAUCAUUUGGAUUUGGAUGAUUCUCAGCAAGAGAAAAACUUCACCUUCAAAUGUAUAGAAUUCUUGCUGCGAUUGAAG